rnacentral:piRNA from 1 species
UAAGAAUUUGUUCUGUGCCUCUUGUGAU